rnacentral:lncRNA from 1 species
UCCCCGGUGCACCCGCAACAGGCGUUUUGCAAUGCAGAUGUAUGAUCAGGGCCAAAGCGGUCAGUGAGAAGGAAGUGGACUCUGGAAACGACAUUUAUGGCAACCCUAUCAAGAGGAUCCAGUAUGAGAUCAAGCAGAUAAAAUGUUCAAAGGGCCUGAGAAGGAUAUAGAGUUUAUCUACACGGCCCCCUCCUCGGCAGUGUGUGGGGUCUCGCUGGACGUUGGAGGAAAGAAGGAAUAUCUCAUUGCAGAAAGGCCGAGGGGGACGGCAAGAUGCACAUCACCCUCUGUGACUUCAUCGUGCCCUGGGACACCCUGAGCACCACCCAGAAGAAGAGCCUGAACCACAGGUACCAGAUGGGCUGCGAGUGCAAAUCACGCGCUGCCCCAUGAUCCCGUGCUACAUCUCCUCCCCGGACGAGUGCCUCUGGAUGGACUGGGUCACAGAGAAGAACAUCAACGGGCACCAGGCCAAGUUCUUCGCCUGCAUCAAGAGAAGUGACGGCUCCUGUGCGUGGUACCGCGGCGCGGCGCCCCCCAAGCAGGAGUU